rnacentral:rRNA from 1 species
GUGAACGCUGGCGGUAGGCCUAACACAUGCAAGUCGAACGGCAGCACAGUAAGAGCUUGCUCUUACGGGUGGCGAGUGGCGGACGGGUGAGGAAUACAUCGGAAUCUACUUUUUCGUGGGGGAUAACGUAGGGAAACUUACGCUAAUACCGCAUACGACCUACGGGUGAAAGCAGGGGAUCUUCGGACCUUGCGCGAUUGAAUGAGCCGAUGUCGGAUUAGCUAGUUGGCGGGGUAAAGGCCCACCAAGGCGACGAUCCGUAGCUGGUCUGAGAGGAUGAUCAGCCACACUGGAACUGAGACACGGUCCAGACUCCUACGGGAGGCAGCAGUGGGGAAUAUUGGACAAUGGGCGCAAGCCUGAUCCAGCCAUACCGCGUGGGUGAAGAAGGCCUUCGGGUUGUAAAGCCCUUUUGGUGGGAAAGAAAAGCAGCAGGUUAACACCCCGCUGUUCUGACGGUACCCAAAGAAUAAGCACCGGCUAACUUCGUG